rnacentral:misc_RNA from 1 species
GGAGAUUGUUAUUGAGUUUUUCUUUUGGAUUUGAUAGGGACACAUUCGUGAACCGCGCAUCGAUACACGACACAUCGACUCAUCAACACAGCAUACUUUCGAGAAUUUCUAUCUUAUGGAAUAAU